CACGGUCCCCCUCACGCGUCUGGCGCUCGCCUGGCUUCUUCCUUGGGCCGUUCUCCUCCUCCGCCCCCCUCCGUGGCGAUUUCGAAAAGCGCUUCGCGGGAAAGGUUAGGGGGCGGGGGGAGGUGGCGGAGGCAGCGGCGGCGGCUGCGACGGUGGUGGUGGCGGCGGCUGUGGAGGAGGAGGCAGUUGGGGGUGCGUGGGGCCUUCAAAGUUGAGAGGCGGAGAGUACGGAGACCCUCCCCUGCCCCCUUCGGAAGGCCAGCGAAAAGAGAGAGCCUUCUCUCGGGGCGCACGAGUCCGGACCCCGCCGCCAGCCUCGGGAGCCGAGAGGACCCGCGGCGCGCCGGGCGGCCGGCUUCCACCAUAUAAAAAAACCGACAAUGAACCCGGCCGAGCGUUUCCGUCCGAGCAGGCCCUGGCGGAGGUCGAAUGGCAAAUGAACAACGGACUGCGCCCACAAUGCACCGGGGCUGGACCGGGCGAUGUGUUUGGAGAGAGAUGAUUGCACCAUGGACACCUCCUCCUCUGAUGCAUUGUGUCUGUGUGUGUGUGCCUGCGUGUGAGGGAGGCAGCACCCCGGGCCCAAGGCAAUAAUCAUUUCACAGAAAUGCACCGCCCCGAGUGUCUUAUUGCUGUGAUGAAAUGGAAAUUUAAAUAAAAGGUCGAACACGUGCGUUCACUGGGAAGUAUUGACAUGGGUGUUACAUCACCGGCAGCCAAUCAGAUAGCUCCAGUUGUGUUUAUAUUUCUACAACCACCUUGUGAGUAUUACAGUAUGUCAUAACGUUAUAAAUAUUAGGCAGGGUUUUCCCCGGAGUGGGGAGGAGUCAAGCUCUUACGGUAUUAGUGUGUGGCGGAGAAGAUUGUGCUUUUAAGAUAACAGUCUUCAUUUAAAAAAAAUCCGCCAGAAUGUUUUCAUUUUUACUGUUAAGUCAGAAGUAAUUAGAGGGACAAAUUUAAGAUGAAAAUAAAGCUGCCUAACAGUCUUAGAAAAGGUUUUCUAACUUUUACUCACUUGAAGAUGAUGGUUACUGUAGGUAAAACUGCUUGUGUAUCUUUAAAUGAUAACUAAUGUUUAUUGAACUGUACUUAAUCUGUUUUUAAAUGUGAACUCAUUAAUUUUAUAAAACUUUUUCAAGUAAAAUUAUUAUUUCAAAUA